rnacentral:rRNA from 1 species
GUAGGUGGCAAGCGUUGUCCGGAAUUAUUGGGCGUAAAGCGCGCGCAGGCGGUCCUUUAAGUCUGAUGUGAAAGCCCACGGCUCAACCGUGGAGGGUCAUUGGAAACUGGGGGACUUGAGCACAGAAGAGGAAAGCGGAAUUCCAAGUGUAGCGGUGAAAUGCGUAGAGAUUUGGAGGAACACCAGUGGCGAAGGCGGCUUUCUGGUCUGUAACUGACGCUGAGGCGCGAAAGCGUGGGGAGCAAACAGGGAUUAGAUACCCUGGUAGUCCACGCCGUAAACGAUGAGUGCUAAGUGUUAGGGGGUUUCCCGCCCCUUAGUGCUGCAGCUAACGCAUUAAGCACUCCGCCUGGGGAGUACGGCCGCAAGGCUG